GCAGCCUACCUGCGUUGCAGGUAGCGAAGACCAGCGCAGCCAGCAGGAUCGUCGCCGUGAAAAGUGUUUAUCUACGGAAGCUUUUUGUGCAGCUUUGCUGAAUCAGUGCCGGCGCAAGCUUCGCUUGCUCCAAAACAGUAGGUUGCCCGCCUACUUGCUGCUUGCAGCCCCGUUUCAGCGAAAGCAGCGAUACCUUUUGCCGAAACUUCGUCGACUACGUUGCCAAAGGGCCAUGCGAAGCAGAUUGGACUCCGCAACCGUGUGCGCUACCAGCGAAGCUGGCCAACCAGC
rnacentral:lncRNA from 1 species